CGACUGCUAAUACCGCAUAAAGUAUCCGAAGGGCAUCCUUUGGAUACCAAAGAUUUAUUGCUGAGAGAUGGCCUCGCGUCUGAUUAGAUAAGUUGGUGAGGUAACGGCUCACCAAGUCGACGAUCAGUAGCCGGUCUGAGAGGAUGAACGGCCACAUUGGGACUGAGAUACGGCCCAGACUCCUACGGGAGGCAGCAGUGGGAAUAUUGGGCAAUGGGGGAAACCCUGACCCAGCAACGCCGCGUGAAGGAAGAAGGCCUUCGGGUUGUAAACUUCUUUUAGCAGGGACGAAGGACGUGACGGUACCUGCAGAAAAAGCAACGGCUAACUACGUG
rnacentral:rRNA from 1 species